rnacentral:rRNA from 2 species
GGGUUGUGAGGUUAAGCGACUAAGCGUACACGGUGGAUGCCCUGGCAGUCAGAGGCGAUGAAGGGCGUACUAAUCUGCGAUAAGCGCCGGUAAGGUGAUAUGAACCGUUAUAACCGGCGAUACCCGAAUGGGGAAACCCAGUGUGAUUCGUCACACUAUCAUUAACUGAAUCCAUAGGUUAAUGAGGCGAACCGGGGGAACUGAAACAUCUAAGUACCCCGAGGAAAAGAAAUCAACCGAGAUUCCCCCAGUAGCGGCGAGCGAACGGGGAGGAGCCCAGAGCCUGAAUCAGCAUGUGUGUUAGUGGAAGCGUCUGGAAAGGCGCGCGAUACAGGGUGACAGCCCCGUACACAAAAGCGCAUGUGCUGUGAGCUCGAUGAGUAGGGCGGGACACGUGGUAUCCUGUCUGAAUAUGGGGGGACCAUCCUCCAAGGCUAAAUACUCCUGACUGACCGAUAGUGAACCAGUACCGUGAGGGAAAGGCGAAAAGAACCCCGGCGAGGGGAGUGAAAAAGAACCUGAAACCGUGUACGUACAAGCAGUGGGAGNNNNNNNNNNNNNNNNNNACUGCGUACCUUUUGUAUAAUGGGUCAGCGACUUAUAUUCUGUAGCAAGGUUAACCGAAUAGGGGAGCCGGAGGGAAACCGAGUCUUAAUUGGGCGUUAAGUUGCAGGGUAUAGACCCGAAACCCGGUGAUCUAGCCAUGGGCAGGUUGAAGGUUGGGUAACACUAACUGGAGGACCGAACCGACUAAUGUUGAAAAAUUAGCGGAUGACCUGUGGCUGGGGGUGAAAGGCCAAUCAAACCGGGAGAUAGCUGGUUCUCCCCGAAAGCUAUUUAGGUAGCGCCUCGUGAAUUCAUCUCCGGGGGUAGAGCACUGUUUCGGCUAGGGGGCCAUCCCGGCUUACCAACCCGAUGCAAACUGCGAAUACCGGAGAAUGUUAUCACGGGAGACACACGGCGGGUGCUAACGUCCGUCGUGAAGAGGGAAACAACCCAGACCGCCAGCUAAGGUCCCAAAGUCAUGGUUAAGUGGGAAACGAUGUGGGAAGGCCCAGACAGCCAGGAUGUUGGCUUAGAAGCAGCCAUCAUUUAAAGAAAGCGUAAUAGCUCACUGGUCGAGUCGGCCUGCGCGGAAGAUGUAACGGGGCUAAACCAUGCACCGAAGCUGCGGCAGCGACACUGUGUGUUGUUGGGUAGGGGAGCGUUCUGUAAGCCUGCGAAGGUGGCCUGUGAGGGUUGCUGGAGGUAUCAGAAGUGCGAAUGCUGACAUAAGUAACGAUAAAGCGGGUGAAAAGCCCGCUCGCCGGAAGACCAAGGGUUCCUGUCCAACGUUAAUCGGGGCAGGGUGAGUCGACCCCUAAGGCGAGGCCGAAAGGCGUAGUCGAUGGGAAACGGGUUAAUAUUCCCGUACUUGGUGUUACUGCGAAGGGGGGACGGAGAAGGCUAUGUUGGCCGGGCGACGGUUGUCCCGGUUUAAGCGUGUAGGUGUGUGUUCCAGGUAAAUCCGGUUCACUUUAACACUGAGGCGUGACGACGAGGCACUACGGUGCUGAAGCAACAAAUGCCCUGCUUCCAGGAAAAGCCUCUAAGCAUCAGGUAACAUCAAAUCGUACCCCAAACCGACACAGGUGGUCAGGUAGAGAAUACCAAGGCGCUUGAGAGAACUCGGGUGAAGGAACUAGGCAAAAUGGUGCCGUAACUUCGGGAGAAGGCACGCUGACACGUAGGUGAAGUGAUUUACUCAUGGAGCUGAAGUCAGUCGAAGAUACCAGCUGGCUGCAACUGUUUAUUAAAAACACAGCACUGUGCAAACACGAAAGUGGACGUAUACGGUGUGACGCCUGCCCGGUGCCGGAAGGUUAAUUGAUGGGGUCAGCGCAAGCGAAGCUCCUGAUCGAAGCCCCGGUAAACGGCGGCCGUAACUAUAACGGUCCUAAGGUAGCGAAAUUCCUUGUCGGGUAAGUUCCGACCUGCACGAAUGGCGUAAUGAUGGCCAGGCUGUCUCCACCCGAGACUCAGUGAAAUUGAACUCGCUGUGAAGAUGCAGUGUACCCGCGGCAAGACGGAAAGACCCCGUGAACCUUUACUAUAGCUUGACACUGAACAUUGAGCCUUGAUGUGUAGGAUAGGUGGGAGGCUUUGAAGUGUGGACGCCAGUCUGCAUGGAGCCGACCUUGAAAUACCACCCUUUAAUGUUUGAUGUUCUAACGUGGACCCGUUACCCGGGUUGCGGACAGUGUCUGGUGGGUAGUUUGACUGGGGCGGUCUCCUCCUAAAGAGUAACGGAGGAGCACGAAGGUUGGCUAAUCCUGGUCGGACAUCAGGAGGUUAGUGCAAUGGCAUAAGCCAGCUUGACUGCGAGCGUGACGGCGCGAGCAGGUGCGAAAGCAGGUCAUAGUGAUCCGGUGGUUCUGAAUGGAAGGGCCAUCGCUCAACGGAUAAAAGGUACUCCGGGGAUAACAGGCUGAUACCGCCCAAGAGUUCAUAUCGACGGCGGUGUUUGGCACCUCGAUGUCGGCUCAUCACAUCCUGGGGCUGAAGUAGGUCCCAAGGGUAUGGCUGUUCGCCAUUUAAAGUGGUACGCGAGCUGGGUUUAGAACGUCGUGAGACAGUUCGGUCCCUAUCUGCCGUGGGCGCUGGAGAACUGAGGGGGGCUGCUCCUAGUACGAGAGGACCGGAGUGGACGCAUCACUGGUGUUCGGGUUGUCAUGCCAAUGGCACUGCCCGGUAGCUAAAUGCGGAAGAGAUAAGUGCUGAAAGCAUCUAAGCACGAAACUUGCCCCGAGAUGAGUUCUCCCUGAGACUUAAAGUCUCCUGAAGGAACGUUGAAGACGACGACGUUGAUAGGCCGGGUGUGUAAGCGCAGCGAUGCGUUGAGCUAACCGGUACUAAUGAACCGUGAGGCUUAACCUUACAACGCCGAAG